CAGCCGCCGCGGUAAUACAGAGGGUGCGAGCGUUAAUCGGAUUUACUGGGCGUAAAGCGUGCGUAGGCGGAUUUUUAAGUCGGAUGUGAAAUCCCUGAGCUUAACUUAGGAAUUGCAUUCGAUACUGGGAAGCUAGAGUAUGGGAGAGGAUGGUAGAAUUCCAGGUGUAGCGGUGAAAUGCGUAGAGAUCUGGAGGAAUACCGAUGGCGAAGGCAGCCAUCUGGCCUAAUACUGACGCUGAGGUACGAAAGCAUGGGGAGCAAACAGGAUUAGAUACCCCGGUAGUCCCUGUCUCUUAUAC
rnacentral:rRNA from 1 species